GCAAUGGAAGCCCUAACUAAGAUGUUCAUGAAAACCGGUAUCAAACUUGCUGAAUACAUCUGAAGAUCUAUGUUCCAUCCUUGGAGCCCACAGUGAAAGGAGAGAACCGACUCCUGAAAGCUGACCUCUGACCUCCACCGAUGCACCGGGGCAUCACACAGGAGGCUGAGGCAGGUGGAUCGCCAGGAGUUCCAAGGCCAGCCUGAUCUACAGAGUAAGUAUCAAGACAGUCAGGGAUAUACAGAAAAAUCCUGUCUCAAAAAACAAACAACAAACAAACAAAAAGGAAGGGGCUAGAGAGAAAGCUUAAUAAGAAUAUAUAGGGGGCUUGAGUGGUUACUGUUUAUAAUGAGCAUGGUUUAAAAAAAUGCCUUUUAGACAUGUAAAAAUAGCUUAGUCAGGAUCUCCACUACACGCAAGGCACACCCGAUAACCAGAACUCAGUGAUAUCACUCACUCAAGAUAACCAGACACAGUUCUUGAAUACCAUGAUGCCCACUGGACAGUAUUUAAGCAAGGACAAGAACCAUGCUCUGCUCUGCACAUCUGGAGAGAUGCCACCUUGAUCUGCUCCCCCCAGGAUCCGGACCCUCAAAUCAGAGACUUCCAUUAGAGACUGGACCUAAUUUUCAGCUAAGAUAUGUCACAGGUGAGCAGCCUUGAGAAGAUAGGCUAAGGACCAAAGUUAGUAAUUUAGAGUGUGAACAUUUGUGAUAAUAAAAUAUAAAUUUUGUUAUACUAGUUACGUGAAUCUAUCUUCAUGCUUGCGACACUGCUCUUCUACAGGACCUGAGUUCAAUUCCCAGCACCCACAAGACAGCUUACAACCAUGGUUCCAAGGGAAUGCAGCGCCCUCUUCUGAUUUCUACAGGCACUACACCCAUGCAAUACACAGACAUGCCAGUGAAAUACCCGUACAUAUAAAAUAAGAAUAUAUAUGGGGCUUGAGGGAUGGCUCAGGAGUUAAGAACCCUGGCUGCUUUUCCAGAGGACCUGGGUUCAAUUCCUAGUUAGCAUCAACAUGGUCACUUACAUCUAUCUAUAACUCCAGUUACAGGGGUCUGACACCUUCACACAGGCAAAACACCAAAGAUCAUAAAAGAUAAUUUCUUAAUGAAAAAAAUAAGAAUAAAUCUUUUUAAAAUAAAAAGACAGUGUGGAGCACUUGCCUAGCAUGCAUGAGGCCCUUGGUUUACUUGCCAGUACUUAAAGCAAACCUUAGGCAAUGCUUGCUUUCUUUGCUGCUGCUAUCAUGAAAUACUGACUAAGCCAGGCAGUUGUGGCAGGCAGAUCUCUAAGUGUGAAGUCUACAAAGUGAGUUCCAGGACAGCCAAGGCCACACAGAGAAACCCUGUCUUGAAAAAAAACAAAAUAAAACCAACAACACAAAGUCCCCAAAACAAACAAGCAAACAAAAAACACUCAAAUGAAAAGCAACCGGGGAGGAAAGUGUUUAUUGGGUUUUCUAUUCCAGGUCACAAUUCAUCAUCAUCCGAAGAAGGCAGGGCAGGAACUCAAGACAGGGACUUGGUGGCAGGAACCAUGAAGGAAGGCUAUUGCCUGGCAGACAGAGUAAUAUUCAGUUAGCUUCCUUAUCUAGCCCAGGACCACCUCUACAUAGGGAAUGAUACUGCCCAUGGUGAGCUGGACUUCCUCCUCCUCUUCCUCCUCCUCCUCUUCUUCUUCCUCCUUC
rnacentral:lncRNA from 1 species